rnacentral:rRNA from 1 species
UCCUUUUCCGUAGGGUUCCCUGCGGAAGGAUCAUUA